rnacentral:lncRNA from 1 species
UUCUGGUUUCAAAUGACACUGGGCCGGAAACCCCUGAGACAGCCUCUCCCAACUUACUGGUAAAAUCCUGUUGAAGAUUAAGAAACUACGAGUGUAGUAAUUUGGACAUGGGCAGGCUGGGUAUGGGGACCAUGGGCAGGAUGGUCAUGCCAUGAGGAGGGACAGCUGGACAUGCUCUGGGAUGGAUGUGAUGCCGUUUCUUACACAGUUUCAGAGUGGCCUCUUCAAGAGGGGCCCACAAUGAAGAGUCCACCCCGAGGGGAGUCUAUUCCACACCCAGGUCCCCGCAAGGGUGAGUUCAUGAGAAGAAGGAGAGGAGAACGGGUUUCCUCCUGCCACGCUGGGGAGGCAAGGCCAGACCCACCUGUGCCAAGAUGAUGCUCAUGAAACUUUCUUCAUUGAUAGUUUUCUGGUUGAAGAAAGAGAAUCUCCUCUUCCCUUUUGGAUCCUAUUCUGGUUUUGUAAAAAUCAUAUAUACUUAUUGCAAAGAAUUCAAGCAGAGCAGAAAGAGUUCGAAGAGGAAAGUUAAAGAGAGCAAUCACCUGCAUUUCUGCCCCUGGAAAACAGCCAUUUGUGAUUUAAGGAGAAUACAAGCCCUGACCAAAGAUUCUUAAUAACUGAAGACAUGUCUAAGCAAAGAGGAUUUCCAGAACACGCUUCCCAUGAAUUACACUUAGAGUUUGCAUUUUGAUUGGAACUGCCGACAGAGUGCGAUUUGAAGCCCCUUUGCUAAAACCUAAUAUUUCCA